UUUAUUUUUCUCGCUUUACAUUUUGAUUAUUAAAAUGUUGUUGCCUUUGUUGAUUAUUUUUCAAAUAGUUUCACUUUUCCUUCCAUGGGCCAUUCUUUCAUCAGCAUCUGCUUUCUUCAUUUGCUUUAAUGUUUCCACGCCUGAGGCUAUUUUUCUGCUCGUCUCUUUAAUUUCAUUUGUCAGGUAACAGCUCCGUUUUGUUCAACUUUAUUACCACGACUUGAUUAGUAUUUGUGUUUCCACCAUAAAAAAUCGAUUUAUUACGAAUUGUAUUGUUCCAGCAAGUAUAUUAACUGAAUCAAAUUACCAUAUUCGUUAUUAUACUAUAGCUCUGUAAAGUGAUUGAAAUUUUGAUGCUUGGACAAGCGCGUACUAUGAGCUUCGCAAGUUUCCUCAAGUUUCUCCUGUUCUUUCAAUUAUUCAUUCAAAUAAGCCUGUCGACCGAUUCAGGCGACUUAUCCGUUGCAAGACCGAGAUGGUACUAUCUUCGUUGUGUUCAAUGUUACCGUCCAGAUGCCAAAGGAGAAGCAUGUGUAAAGAUACCACAGUGCAUCAAAAGCCGCGAGUUUUUUGGAUACAUUAUGGGCUAAUAAAAGCUACAAAGUACCGAAGUUUGUACAUAUUUGGCCGCUCCUAGAGGCAAUUAGUUCUCACUUCCUCUGCGCGCUUCUCCGUAAACAAUUUGCAAAAAACGGCCAGAACUUUAAUAAAACUUUAUUAUUAUUAA